AUGAACGCUGGCGGCGUGCUUAACACAUGCACGUCGAACGAAACACCUUAUUUGAUUUUCUUCGGAACUGAAGAUUUGGUGAUUGAGUGGCGGACGGGUGAGUAACGCGUGGGUAACCUGCCCUGUACAGGGGGAUAACAGUCAGAAAUGACUGCUAAUACCGCAUAAGACCACAGCACCGCAUGGUGCAGGGGUAAAAACUCCGGUGGUACAGGAUGGACCCGCGUCUGAUUAGCUGGUUGGUGAGGUAACGGCUCACCAAGGCGACGAUCAGUAGCCGGCUGGAGAGAGUGAACGGCCACAUUGGGACUGAGACACGGACCAAACUCCUACGGGAGGCAGCAGUGGGGAAUAUUGCACAAUGGGGGAAACCCUGAUGCAGCGACGCCGCGUGAGUGAAGAAGUAUUUCGGUAUGUAAAGCUCUAUCAGCAGGGAAGAAAAUGACGGUACCUGACUAAGAAGCCCCGGCUAACUACGUG
rnacentral:rRNA from 1 species